UGUGUGUGUGUGUGUGUGUGUGUUGGUUUUUGUGAUUUAUGAAGACAUUUCAUAUGAAUACAUGCCACACUAUGAGGACAUUUUGGAUUAUGAGGACAUGGCCAGUGUCCUCAUAAUACGGGCAAUGUAGAAGUGCUCCUACAGCUAGGGGGAGCUGAAUUCCAAAAUUUCUCCAAAUGACUUUAUAAUUCACAUAGACCUGAAUUUGUGUAUGACGUGUGUAUCGGAAGUGCGCCCCUGUAGCCCUGACUCGGUACUGCACCUCCUCAUUAAUUAUUAAUGCCUGUGUAUGAAAUCGCGGCUUCUGAUUGGCUGACCGGCAGAGGUCCUCAUAAUUUCGGGAUUUGUCAAACCAUGGCGUUAACGCACAUUUACAGCAAGGACGAAACAACGACUCGGCGACCAUCUGUGUUUCAAUCAUCGAAUUAAAGACACGUAAGGUAAGAGUAAUGAUAAAUACACUGCUACAUUUCAAAUCUAUAAACUGUUUUGGCCAUAAAGUUUGAAUGACUAUGAUUAGACAGUAAAAUCGAUUAGCAUUAGCGGCUAAUCAAGUUAGCUUUUGUGAAGCCUGGCAGCAUUUAACGUUAUCUUUUUUCCGUGAUGAAUCAACAACUUAUCUUUAUCAUCAAUAAGCAAUUAAAAUCAGCAACGUUAUCAUGUUUUACCUACAAGUCAGAAAAAGAUAGUAAUAAGUAUACAGAUUGUAGUGUGCUUAUUUUGGGUGAUAAAGUGAAUACUGCCCAAAUAAAUAACUCAUCAUAUGUUAUUGUCAGAUUGAGAUCACAUUAUUUUACACUAUAUAGAUCUAGGCAGUAUAAUUAUGUGCUGAUGAGGUUAAUGUUUUGAAGAGGUAAAUCCUGUUUCACUGGCUUGACAUACAGACAUAAAUAAUACAGAAUAAUCACUAUUGUUAAUAUUUAAACUCUAUAUAAUAAAUGAAAUCAUAAACUCAGUCGAUUAGCAUCAGCAAUGUCUACAAAGAAUAGAAAAAUGCUUUUACUGUAACUGUUAAAUGCUGUAACUUGACCAAAACAUAAUGGACAUAGCAGGGGAUGGUCGCAACAAGGUCCCAGAGAGCCAAAUUAAAGCCAAAAGAGGAAUCUGCAUAUUAUGUGAAGUGUAAUGAGCAUUUUACCUGAAGAGUUGUAUCUAUUUAAGCUCAUUUGAGGACACAGUUUAAUGUCAGAACAGUUUGUCAGUCUUGUAGUGAAGUCACUGUUUUAAUACUGUAUUGUGAAUCUACACAGGUGUCUUCUGAGAGAGAUGAACAGUCUGCUGGUUUAGUAAACUGUGCUGGAGAGGAUGAGGGACAACAGAAGAUGAUGACUGCCUUAGAAGGCCCAUCUUGAGUAAUUUACAAUACCACUAGUAGGAAGAACAACAAGCACAGUAGCAAGGAAGGGUGUGAACAACCUGGUAAAAGCCCACAAACCACACACGCAGUGAACAUUGUACUAUACAAUUAUGUCAAUCAAAAUCAAAGUGGAAGAAUUAAAGUCAGAUGACUCAUCUGUACACACACACGCAGGUAGAGUUGAUACCAUCGACUCUACCUGCGCGACUGGAAGACCGAAGAGUGUAAAGACCAUCGACUCUAACUGCGCGACUCCACCGAGCAAGGACACCGACAAGGCACUUGAGUAUCGCACUUCAGUAUUAACUCCCCAUAGAGUCAAAUGCUGUUACUUUCAUCGAUCCUGUUAAAACUCAUGAUGUAGUUAUCUAUCGUCCCUCAGGUCAGCUUGGACAUUUCUUCGAGGAGUUGGAUACGCUUCUGUUAUCCUUCCCUGAGGAUGAUACUCCUCUAGUGGUACUUGGAGACUUCAACAUCGACCUUAAAAAACCACAGGCUGCCGACUUCAACAACCUGACUGCGUCGUUUGACAUCAAGCGAGUUCCCACUUCAGAAACCCAAAAGUCUGAACAACCUCCUGGACAGCAACCAGUUUCCGCACGCAUUUCAGCAUGCCUGAGCAACAUUUUGCUCUGGAUGAAGGACCAUCACCUGCAGCAGAACCCUGCAAAAACAGAACUCCUUGUAAUUCCGGCCGACCCAAAGAUUCAUCACAACCUCUCCAUUCAACUGGGCUCAUCAACCAUCACAUCUUCCAGAACGGCCAUAAACCUGGGAGUGGUGAUCGAUGAUCAGCUAAACUUAACAGAUCAUGUUGUCAGCAUCCUCUACAAUAUUAGGAAAAUUAGACCUUUCCUAUCCGAGCAUGCUACGCAAGUCCUAGUCCAGGCUCUUGUUCUAUCCAGACUGGACUACUUUAAUGCGCUACUGGCUGAUCUUCCUGCUUGCACAACCAAACCUCUACAGAUGAUCCAGAAUACAGCAGCAAGAGUGGUCUUCAAUGAACUGAAGAGAGUACACGUCACUCCUCUCUUCACUAAGUUACAUUGGCUCUCUAUAGUCGCUCGCAUCAGAUUCAAGACUUUGCUCUUGCCCUACAAGACCACCACUGGUUCGGCACCCCCAUAUCUUCACUCGCUUAUACAGACUUAGAUACCCACCAGAUCCCUAUGCUGUGCAAAUGAACGACGUCUUGUGGUGCCAUCCCAAAAAGUGACUCAUGAAAAUUCUGCUAAAACGGAUAUGAAAGGAGAAAACAAAAACGGCCAUGGUCUUCAACAGAAAUUGCUGCAGGAGUGAAACCGAUAGCUUCGGUCUAUCUAAAACAGGGAUGGACAACUUCGGUCCUGCAGGGCCACUGUCCAACAAAGUUUAGCUCCAACCCUAAUCAAACAAAUCAAACACACCUAAACAAGCUCAUAGAUGUCUUCAAGAUCACUAGAAACCAUGAAAGUAAGCAACCAGUGAAUCAUUGUGUAAAAUGUGUUGAUUUGUCAGUGUUAUUGCCAUUGAAUCAAUAUCACUUUUGCACCCACAAUUAAUGUUGAAAUUUCAUCAAUGCACCAUUAUUGUGAUCAGUGUUUACUUUAUUUGACCUCUUGACUUAUUUCUCUUUUCCUCUUUAAGUGUUUAUAACCGUGUUUCAGUAAGAACAAUAAAGAGAUGUUUUAAAGUUAAGUUGGAGUUGGUUACUUUUUUGCGGUGGGUGUCAAGCUGUAAUAAAGAUGAGUAAUAAUACUAAAUAAUGUUGGAACUAAUCUUUCAUGACUGAUGUUAAUGUUCUGCUUCACAAAUGCAAAGAUACUGUGACAAUGAACAGAUUUACUGACACACUUAGACAUCAACACUCAAUAUACAAACCUCAACAAUGGUGACAAUCACCAAUCUAAAUCAGAUAAACAGAUCAACUGCAAUGCAUGCUGGGAGAUAUGAAUGAAUUUUGUAGUAUGUUGUUACCCAGCAUGCAUUGCAGCAGGAAGCUUCCUUUUGUUGACUGUCACCAUUGUUGAGUUUCAUACACUGACUCUUAUGACACUGUUUGACACAUAAGUAAUUAUAUGAACAUUGAAACAAGUUUAUUAGACCAUUUCUAACCAAUUUCAAACUUUCCAUGAGGAAAAACUUGUUUCUUAGCACCUAUAAGCACAAACUUCAACUAAGACAAACAUACUUGUUUGGUUUAACUGUUAGAAAAUGUAUUUUCACAUAGAUUAUUUUAUUCUAUUUUUUAUUUUAAUAUACUAUGUUAUUACUUUAAAAUGUUAUUAAACUGCAGCAGUCGAGAUGACGCGCAGUACCUGGAUGAGCGCUCUUACCAGUUAUAACAGUUGUUAUUGGAGAAUAAAUGAUCUCAGAAUGUCGCCUUAACUGUUGUCUGUUUAAUCAUUUGUCCUCCUAGAUCAUAUGUCCUUUUAAUACACAAUUUCUUCACCUUUGUGUUUCUGUGUGUGUUUAAUCUUUUGUCCUUAUACAAAGUAGAUCACGUAUGUCCUUUUAAUACACAAUUUCUUCACUUUUGUGUGUGUGUGUUAAAUCUUUUGUCCUUGUAGAUCACACAUGUCCUUUUAAUACACAAUUUCUUCACUUUUGUGUGUGUGUGUUAAAUCUUUUGUCCUUGUAGAUCACAUAUGUCCUUUUAAUACACAAUUUCUUCACUUUUGUGUUUCUGUGUGUGUUUAAUCUUUUGUCCUUGUAAAUCACGUAUGUCCUUUUAAUACACAAUGUCUUCACGUUAGUGUUUGUGUUGUGGUGUAAUUUCAAUUUGAAAGAAAUCUAAAUCAGUAGUAAUCAUACGAUUAUAAUCAUAAUUAACAUUUCUUUCUUGACAAGUCAAACAGUUUGGUAUUCAAGAACUUUCUAAGACAGCGGUUCCCAAUCCACAGUUCUAGAAUAAUUUUGGCACUGCACAUUUUCCAUAUGUCUCUAAUCAAACACACCUGAUUCACGUUGUCAGCUCAUUAAUAAAGGCUGUUUCUCAAUAUGCGUUCUUCGGUGAUCUUGAGUCGUUGUGUUCUCGCUCUACGUCAUCAUUAACUGUUAAAGUCUGGUUCCAAUACUCAAGAAUAGAGAACGCAUGGAAGUACCCGGAUGUGUUCUUAAUAUCAAGGAUUAUACAGACUUGCGCGUAGCGUACCUGCUUGAAGACCUAGAAGCCACUGAGGCAUAUCCACCUGAGUUUGUUCUUCUGAGGUUGCAAGACUGGUCUCCUGGUAUUUUUUUCGUUCUUGGAAUUGAGAAACGGCCCAAGACCUCAGAUGAGUGUCAGAUUAAAGUGACAUCUAAAAAUGUAAGGUGUUGGGAGUACAGGAGUAACAGAAUUGGGAAACACUGAACUAAGAACAGAAUGGAACACUAACACUUAUUUAAGUGUAAUGGAAUAAUGAUGGCUUUCCUGUAGCUCAGUGGUUAGAGCAUGGCGCUAGCAAUGCCAAGGUCAUAUGUUCCACCCCAGGGAUUGCACAUACGCAGAAACAAAAAUGUAUAGUAUGUAGCAAUGUAGAUCUCUUUGGAUAAAACUUUAGCCAAAUGCAUAAAAAUAAAUGUAAAAUGAUGGUGCAUGCAUAAGGGCUAGAAAAGUAACAAGUCACCUAAAUAUAAUACGCUCAUGACAAGGUAGCUGAUUUGAAUAAAUCAUAUAAAGAAUUAUUUGUUAUGCCAUAUGUAGGGGAAAUCUACCACAGUGUUUAAUCAUUUACCUUUACAGAUCACAUAUGACCAUUUAAUACACAAUGUCUUAAUUUUGUUUAUGUCUUUAGCUGUAUGCUGUAUUUACGUAAUCUUGUAUGGGAGUACAUGCAGCUGGUGGUUAUUGCAGAAUAAAACUUGACAGGACUCUUUUGACCCUAAAGACAUUAACAACAGGCUGGAUGUACAAUAUCUACUGUAUCUCUUUAGCUAUGUCCUAUUAAUUCACAUGUGACCCUAUAAUACACUUUAAUGUCAUGUGUGUUUGUGUUUAUAGCUACUGUCCUCAUAAUAACGUUUUGUGGCAUAGGCGGGGCUUGCAUGUAAUUAUAAUAUGUCCUCAUAAUUGUGUAUUUUGUCAGGUUGUUAUAUUUUAACUUGUGUUGUGUGUAAAUUAGUUCUGAAGUGAAAUCUGUGUUGUGUGGCUCAAAAUAAUUUUUUUAAUGUUCACCACAACUCUGUAGAGCAAGUGGAAAGGUGUGUCCCCCUAAUGCAGCAAAAAACUGGUUUGGGCUGAAGUGUCCUUGUAAUACAUAUAAACCCGUAUG